rnacentral:lncRNA from 1 species
GGGCCCUCCUGCCCGUCCGCCCGCCCGCUGGCCCCGCCCCGCUCCUCCUCCCGCCGCGCGGCGAGGUUAACGGCGGAAACCGGACAGGCCGGACGGCAUCGGGUCCGGUGGCCGGGCGAGGAGGCAGCGGCGGCUGCAGCUCCGCGCACACAAAGCCCAGGGCCGGGGCCUGAACCGGGAAGGCAGACCCGGAGGAGCCAACGCUUCCUUACUCGCCACUCUAACGGGUCCGGCCCACUGAGCAUGCCCAGCACCGCUGCCAGGCCCGCGAGGAAUCUCAACGUGCACGCUCCGCGCUCCGGGGUUUAGCGCCAGCAGAGGCUGGGGGCAGGGCGCAGGGAGCAGGACGCAGCCGCAAGGCAAGCCCCUUCCCCCAGCCAACUUCCUUAAACCCAGAGACGGCAGAACGCGCAGAAGCGGCUUUCCACCCCAAAAGUCUGGCGGGCAUUCCCAACCAUACCCAGGCGUCCUUAGUGGACUCGAACUCUCAAGGUUUCACCCAGGGAUGAAAGUCGGUGGCCAUGCCGCGAAGUUGAUGUGUAGAAGCAGGCACACGGUAAGGUGUGCCUGCAAAUGAAGUUUCUGCUUCCCAGGGUCACCCUUGCCACCUAACCGCGGCUUUGACGCUGUAAAAGUUGAUCUUGUUUCAUGUUACCUUGAUGUAGUUUCAUGUCUAAUCUCCCUAGCUAAAGUGUGAAGCCAUAGACUCUGAUAUUCCCAACUGUAAAAUGGGGAUGACACUCAAGGGGUGUACCUAGAAUAAGAGUUACUUCAUUUAAAGAGCCUGACAGGAAGCUCAGUAGUAAAACAUCCUCAGUUCAAUCCUCCCCCCGCCCCCCGUACAAAAAAAAAAAUCCUGAAGGAUAUAAGGUAUACAUAUAACAAACAUUAGUUAUGUCACCGUUAACUUACCAUCUUAUAAAUCCCAGUAUUCCAUAUAUGUAUCAGCACAGAAUUACAAAUUGGACCUCUAAGAAAUUGCUAUUGUUAUUAAAUACACCAGUUCAAAACCAGGAAGACAGUAAGAGAAAUUUGCAUAUCUUCAAAAAAAGAUUUGGGCCUAGAAUCAUAAAAUUGUUAUACCUUAGAUUCACAUUUAAAUAGGCCUUUGGCAAUGUCCAAAAUAGAGGACUGGCUGCCUACUAUUCAAGUUUAGGUUUCCAUAGUGCCAUUAAUAAGAUUUUUUUUUUAAUGGCACUAUUCUGCCCUUCUCUUUCUCCCGAAUCUUUUCAAACUUUAGGGCCCAAGGAUUUUAUAAGAGAUCCCUGUCCUAAAACCUGGUCUAAUAAUGGUAUACUUCUGAAUUGCACAGGCUUUUCUACACAGCUAUUAAGCUAAAAUCUCCACUGAGUAUUUGUCUUUAUGCAAAUUUUACCUUUAUUUCACCACUAACCUGCUCAAAUAUUAAGAUACUGUGCAGUCAAAAGAUAAAAAUGACAUACUGAAUUAAAACAAAUAAUUUUUCUUUUAAAUGACAUACUGAAUAGCUAAAGCCAGCUUAGGGACAAUCAAAAAAGGAGAUGAACUCUAAUUCCAUGGUGCUCUUUCCAGAGAACCAAAACUCAGUGACAACUGAUGAAAAGGUCAACUUUUCAUUGUAAAUUUCAAGAAUAAGGAAACUUUUUUAAGUGCUAUUGUGACAGCUCUUGUGGUGGUUUAUUACUGAUAUUGUUUCUAUGGUAAAAUUGGAGAGGCUGGAUACAAUGAACAAAGAAAGUUUCAUAUUUCAAGCCCUUUGAAUUAGAACAGGAGAUUUGUAUCCUGGCUCUGUCAUUCAUCAUCAUGUGAUCAUAGGCAUCUAGUAAUUCAACCUGCUUUUCAAGCCUUGGUUCUCUCUUCUGUCAAAUGCAAACAGCAGUUGAAAUCUCACAGCUUGCUAUGAGAAUCUUAUAUUAGGGUAUGUGUAAACAGUUUUGUUCCUAUCAUCAUCCCUCUCUGCCUAGGCACAACAAUCUUAGUUCCAAACUACUAAUCUAAAAUUAAGCUUCCUCACUAUUAAAAUGCUCAACUGAACACUUUUUUUAUAUAUACCUUUAUUUCACUUAUUUUUAUGUAUGCUGAGAAUCGAACCCAGGGUCUCGCACAUGCAAGGCAAGCGCUCUACCGCUGAGCUACAGCCACGGCCCCUGAACACUUCUUUCUUCAAAUGAUUUUUCUUACUGAUCAAAUGCUGAACAAAGACCAUAAUGCCAAAUAAAAUGAAAGGUUAGAGGAUCAUCUAUUACCUCUCGAAUGCUCUCAACUACAUCAUUAUUCCCCAUCUACCUUAUUCUGGCUACAUUAUUCAAGCAGACUCUUGAAAGAAAUAAAUUGAAACGAUUCACGUAUCCAUCUCCCCUAAAUUGGUUCAUAUAAUGGAAAAUACUUUGUAUUCCAAGAGAAUCUUAUUUGGCAAUAGUGUACAAUUCUCAUGUUAUUAACAAUUUCCAUUACAUCCACCUGUAAUUUGAGUUUGACAUUCCAUAAACACUUCAUAGUAACAGCAAAGGAGGAAUCUUCAUUAAUAGUCCUUAUGAGGCACAGGCUUCAAGAAAUAACUAGCAGUCACAGAACCCAACAUUAAUGCACUUCUGGAACAGCAUAUCCAACAUUCACUGCAGCAGUUUCUAUAAGCAAACAACUGGAAUUAACCACAAUGUCCAUCAAUCAGGCUUGUUCAAGGAGACACACAUGAAAAGAAUGUGGUGGAGGAAUAUACUGGUAUGGGAAGAACUCCAAAACAGUGAAAAAAUGAAUUGCAAAAUAGUAUGUAAAGUAUCCUACCAUUUGUGUAAAAAUGAAUACAUGUUCCUACACUUGAUAUACGUGGAAUACUUCUAGAAGAAAGCAACAAACUAGUAACAGUAAUUGUAGCUAUGCCGCAAGGAUGGAACGAAGGAUUUAACCUUUUCAAUGUAUAUAUUUGUGUAUCUUUUGAACAACUUUAUGCCAUAUACACAUACUACUUAUACUAAAAAAUACCUUAUUUAUUGAAUUUUUAGGCUUGAUUUUUAUAUGUACAUGACAAUAAUUGAUUUUAGACUUUAUUUAUUCAUAGCUUUAGAAGCCCCAUACCUCUGAAUGCCCUGUAGGUCAGAAAAAUAUUCUAGAACAUUACCACAAUAUUCCAAACUAAUCUGGGUUAAGAGUUUAGCAUAGACUAUUGUGAUUUCAAUUAAAACUGAUACACUAACCUAUCAGUCAACUUUGCCACUUUUGGCUGUACAAACCAAAUUUAUUGACAUUUAUUAAACACUAUAUAUCUUAUACUAGGCUAAGUACUUCAUCUACUUAAGUCAUUGAUGAUAUGUAAUGCUGAGAAUCAAACCGAGUGCCUCACACACGGUAAGCAAGCGCUCUGCCACCAAGCCACAAGCCCAGACCCCUAGUACUUUAUUUAAUGAUAUCUCACAUAAGAUGUAAAUUUGUUCAUUUUCAAUGUUUUAGAAUGAAAAUUUUAUAUGUAAAACUUUUUUCAAAGUUGUUGUUGCUAUUUGGAAUUCCCAGAAAUUAAAUGACCACAACAAAAGAUACAAGCUUUUUUAAAGGCAGGAAGAUCACAAAUUCAAGGCCUGCGUCAUCAACUCAGUAAAACACUGUCUUAAACUUUUUUUAAAAAGGCUGGGAAUGUAGUUCACUGAUAAAGCAUUCUUGGGUUCUAUCCCCAAUAUGAGUAAAGUGAGAUAAUACAGAAUUCCAAAGAACUUAACCCAAAGAAAUUAUAGAAAUCAGAGUAUGAUCAAGUUAAUAGACUAGCAUUUUUAACUUUCAAAAAAAAUGUGCACAAUCUGUGUCACUUAUGAUUCCCUACUCUGACUCACAUUUUCAUCUACCAGCCAUGUAAGAGGGCUUCUAUUGUACACACAUAGGGCUGACUGACUUUCCCCCUAAGAAAAAAUUUGGGAAUACUUGGGAGAUAAUAUAGUAUUAAACUGAGUUUAAAUCCCUAUCCCAAAUUUACUUCCUCUGUAUUUUGCUAGCAGCUCACAUGCUCCUUAGUACCUAUUAUAUGCUAGGGAUCAUGUAAAAUUCUUCUACAUUUAGUGCAAGUUAAACAAACCUGCUGGGCUGGUAGCGCGCUCGC